rnacentral:rRNA from 1 species
GGUUAAGCGACUAAGCGUACACGGUGGAUGCCCUGGCAGUCAGAGGCGAUGAAGGACGUGCUAAUCUGCGAAAAGCGUCGGUAAGGUGAUAUGAACCGUUAUAACCGGCGAUGUCCGAAUGGGGAAACCCAGUGCAAUUCGUUGCACUAUCGUUAACUGAAUACAUAGGUUAACGAGGCGAACCGGGGGAACUGAAACAUCUAAGUACCCCGAGGAAAAGAAAUCAACCGAGAUUCCCCCAGUAGCGGCGAGCGAACGGGGAGCAGCCCAGAGUCUGAAUCAGCUUGUGUGUUAGUGGAACGGUCUGGAAAGUCCGACGGUACAGGGUGAUAGUCCCGUACACCAAAAUGCACAGGUUGUGAACUCGAAGAGUAGGGCGGGACACGUGGUAUCCUGUCUGAAUAUGGGGGACCAUCCUCCAAGGCUAAAUACUCCUGACUGACCGAUAGUGAACCAGUACCGUGAGGGAAAGGCGAAAAGAACCCCGGCGAGGGGAGUGAAAAAGAACCUGAAACCGUGUACGUACAAGCAGUGGGAGCACCUUCGGGUGUGACUGCGUACCUUUUGUAUAAUGGGUCAGCGACUUAUAUUCUGUAGCAAGGUUAACCGUAUAGGGGAGCCGCAGGGAAACCGAGUCUUAACUGGGCGUUAAGUUGCAGGGUAUAGACCCGAAACCCGGUGAUCUAGCCAUGGGCAGGUUGAAGGUUGGGUAACACUAACUGGAGGACCGAACCGACUAAUGUUGAAAAAUUAGCGGAUGACUUGUGGCUGGGGGUGAAAGGCCAAUCAAACCGGGAGAUAGCUGGUUCUCCCCGAAAGCUAUUUAGGUAGCGCCUCGUGAACUCAUCUUCGGGGGUAGAGCACUGUUUCGGCUAGGGGUCAUCCCGACUUACCAACCCGAUGCAAACUACGAAUACCGAAGAAUGUUAUCACGGGAGACACACGGCGGGUGCUAACGUCCGUCGUGAAGAGGGAAACAACCCAGACCGCCAGCUAAGGUCCCAAAGUCAUGGUUAAGUGGGAAACGAUGUGGGAAGGCACAGACAGCCAGGAUGUUGGCUUAGAAGCAGCCAUCAUUUAAAGAAAGCGUAAUAGCUCACUGGUCGAGUCGGCCUGCGCGGAAGAUGUAACGGGGCUAAACCAUGCACCGAAGCUGCGGCAGCGACACUAUGUGUUGUUGGGUAGGGGAGCGUUCUGUAAGCCUGCGAAGGUGACCUGUGAGGGUUGCUGGAGGUAUCAGAAGUGCGAAUGCUGACAUAAGUAACGAUAAAGCGGGUGAAAAGCCCGCUCGCCGGAAGACCAAGGGUUCCUGUCCAACGUUAAUCGGGGCAGGGUGAGUCGACCCCUAAGGCGAGGCCGAAAGGCGUAGUCGAUGGGAAACAGGUUAAUAUUCCUGUACUUGGUGUUACUGCGAAGGGGGGACGGAGAAGGCUAUGUUAGCCGGGCGACGGUUGUCCCGGUUUAAGCAUGUAGGCUGAUUGUCCAGGCAAAUCCGGAUAAUCAAGGCUGAGGUGUGAUGACGAGGCACUACGGUGCUGAAGUAACAAAUGCCCUGCUUCCAGGAAAAGCCUCUAAGCAUCAGGUAACAUCAAAUCGUACCCCAAACCGACACAGGUGGUCAGGUAGAGAAUACCAAGGCGCUUGAGAGAACUCGGGUGAAGGAACUAGGCAAAAUGGUGCCGUAACUUCGGGAGAAGGCACGCUGGUGUGUAGGUGAAGCCCCUGCGGGUGGAGCUGAGACCAGUCGAAGAUACCAGCUGGCUGCAACUGUUUAUUAAAAACACAGCACUGUGCAAACACGAAAGUGGACGUAUACGGUGUGACGCCUGCCCGGUGCCGGAAGGUUAAUUGAUGGGGUUAUCCGUAAGGAGAAGCUCUUGAUCGAAGCCCCGGUAAACGGCGGCCGUAACUAUAACGGUCCUAAGGUAGCGAAAUUCCUUGUCGGGUAAGUUCCGACCUGCACGAAUGGCGUAAUGAUGGCCAGGCUGUCUCCACCCGAGACUCAGUGAAAUUGAACUCGCUGUGAAGAUGCAGUGUACCCGCGGCAAGACGGAAAGACCCCGUGAACCUUUACUAUAGCUUGACACUGAACAUUGAGCCUUGAUGUGUAGGAUAGGUGGGAGGCUUUGAAGCGUGGACGCCAGUCUGCGUGGAGCCAACCUUGAAAUACCACCCUUUAAUGUUUGAUGUUCUAACGUUGGCCCCUGACCGGGGUUGCGGACAGUGUCUGGUGGGUAGUUUGACUGGGGCGGUCUCCUCCCAAAGCGUAACGGAGGAGCACGAAGGUUAGCUAAUCCUGGUCGGACAUCAGGAGGUUAGUGCAAUGGCAUAAGCUAGCUUGACUGCGAGCGUGACGGCGCGAGCAGGUGCGAAAGCAGGUCAUAGUGAUCCGGUGGUUCUGAAUGGAAGGGCCAUCGCUCAACGGAUAAAAGGUACUCCGGGGAUAACAGGCUGAUACCGCCCAAGAGUUCAUAUCGACGGCGGUGUUUGGCACCUCGAUGUCGGCUCAUCACAUCCUGGGGCUGAAGUAGGUCCCAAGGGUAUGGCUGUUCGCCAUUUAAAGUGGUACGCGAGCUGGGUUUAGAACGUCGUGAGACAGUUCGGUCCCUAUCUGCCGUGGGCGCUGGAGAAUUGAGGGGGGCUGCUCCUAGUACGAGAGGACCGGAGUGGACGCAUCACUGGUGUUCGGGUUGUCAUGCCAAUGGCACUGCCCGGUAGCUAAAUGCGGAAGAGAUAAGUGCUGAAAGCAUCUAAGCACGAAACUUGCCCCGAGAUGAGUUCUCCCUGAGACUUUAAGUCUCCUGAAGGAACGUUGAAGACGACGACGUUGAUAGGCCGGGUGUGUAAGCGCAGCGAUGCGUUGAGCUAACCGGUACUAAUGAACCGUGAGGCUUAACCUU